rnacentral:lncRNA from 1 species
GCGCCAUCAAACCAGUUUAAACCCUAUUUGGUUUGUUUUGUAUUUGUCAUUUUUGGGCCUUUUUUUAGCUGACUAUACAUAUGGCUUUUGCUCAUUGUUAAAGAUUAUACAGUAACUUAGAGUUUUUAAUUGUUAUGUCAUUUUUGUUGUUUCUAUCUAUGUUCCAUUACAGUUUAUUUUUGUUGCACUUCAGUGUUUCUUGUUUUGUUGUUUUCCUCUAAUAGUUGAUGUGAUUCCCUCGGUUUUAGUUUGUUACCCAGUACAGCCCAUGCAAAGAGUGGAAUAAUCAACAUGGAGAUACAAAAUCCAUAUAUACAAGUAUACCUGGAUUAUUGCUACAUAAUAAUAGAAGGUUCACAAUCAGAAAAAAAGAAGUCUCCUUUGUUGUAAUUUUUUAUAGUUCCCAACUGACCUUACCAACAACCCCCAAGCUAAGGUCAAGAUAUGAGCCAGUUCGUCCUGUAUCAGAUGCUCCUUACAACUAGCUUAAAAUAUAAUGUAGGAUUUACAGAAGGAAUCAAUAAUGUCAACAAACUUUGAAUUAUCUUUAUAUAAAUGAAAAUCAAUAAUAAAAAAAAUAAAAAAGUAAUUUUGAAUUUUGAAAAAAGAAACGCCUAAAUUGGGGAAUGUGAGGUAAAAGUACAAUGCAAGUUCCUCUGUUAAUCCCCAAGAAGCCUCUGAAUCAAGUCUACUUCAUAUGUAAAGAUGAAUGAUAGGGUGGAUAUCUAAAACCAGCCACAUACUUGUCCCAAUGGCAAUCAUACCACAUCUGAUGUUUAUAUGUAAAUGUGAUUUGAAUAUGAAAUAUUAGGUCAUUGCUCCAUUGUUAAAGACCCUGCAUCAAUCUCUGACAUUUGGUCUUAAUAAAGAGUUUGUCUUAUUGACAAUCAUAUCACAUCUCCAUAUUUGUAUUGUUGAAAUAUAAGGUCAUUGCUCCAUUCCUAAAGACCCUGCAUCAAUCUCUGACAUUUGGGCUUGAUGAAGAGUUUGUCUUAUUGGCAAUCAUAUCACAUCUCUAAAUUUGUUACUUGUUAGGUCACCGUCAUUGCUCCAUAGUGUUAAAGACCCUGCAUCAAUCUCUGACAUUUGGUCUAGAUGAAGAGUUUGUCUUAUUGGCAAUCAUAUCACAUCUCCAUAUUUGUUACUUGUUGAAAUAUUAGGUCAUUGCUCCAUUGUUAAAGACCCUGCAUCAAUCUCUGACAUUUUGUCUUCAGAUGAAGAGUUUGUCUUAUUGGCAAUCAUAGCAUAUGCAAUUUAAGACUGUGCCUUUGACUCAUGUGGGGCGGGGAAUAAAGGAUUAUUGAGACUGCUACAAGGGGGAGGGAGGAAGGGAGGGGGAAACCAAGACUAGAAGAAGAGCAUACUGUGAACCAACUCAUUUUUCAGACAAUUUAUUAACGAGACUUCGAGCGAAAAGAAAUAAGCCGAAUAUAAAUCACGAAUAUUUCAAAAUAGAAUUGUCUGUUAAAUGAAGUAACCCGACAAAAUAAGAUAAUCACGAAACAUAUCCAUGCAAAAUAUGCUAAAAAAGGCUAUAUGGGAUCCUUUCCGUUUUAAUUUUUACAUUUGUGAUUUCUGAGCCUUUUAUAGCUGACUAUGUGGUAUCUGCUUUGCUCAUUGUUGAAGGCUGUACAGAGACAUGUAACUGUAAAUUUCUGUGUCAUUUAGUCUCUUGUGGAGAGUUGUUUCAUUGGCAAUCAUACAUACCACACCUUCUUUAUAUAUUUGUGAGAGAAAAAGUAUCGGUUUUGUUCAUUGUUGAAGGGCAUACAGUGACACAUAGCUGUUAAUUUCUGUGUCAUUUAGUCUCUUGUGGAGAGUUGUUUCAUUGGCAAUCAUACCACACCUUCUUUAUAUAUUUGUGAGAGAAAAAGUAUCGGUUUUGUUCAUUGUUGAAGGGCAUACAGUGACACAUAGCUGUUAAUUUCUGUGUCAUUUAGUCUCUUGUGGAGAGUUGUUUCAUUGGCAAUCAUAACACAUCUUUUUUCUGCUUUGAUCAUUGAAGGCAGUACAGUGACCUAUAGCUGUUAGUUUCUGUGUCAUUUAGUCUCUUGUGGGGUGUAAAGUCUCAUUGGCAAUCAUACUACAUCUUCUUUUUUCGUAUAUACACAGGAAAAAAUCCUAUGUGAAAUACGAUAGAAAGGGUGAUACACGAAAAAAAAAACACUGCGAAAAUCGAUAGAAAUGGCGCAACACGAAUAAAAUGUCCAUAAAAUAAGUU